rnacentral:sRNA from 1 species
CCCAAACCCAAUGUGAACGUUACCAAACUGUUGCCUCGGCGGGAUCUCUGCCCCGGGUGCGUCGCAGCCCCGGACCAAGGCGCCCGCCGGAGGACCAACCAAAACUCUUAUUGUAUACCCCCUCGCGGGUUUUUUUUAUAAUCUGAGCCUUCUCGGCGCCUCUCGUAGGCGUUUCGAAAAUGAAUCAAAACUUUCAACAACGGAUCUCUUGGUUCUGGCAUCGAUGAAGAACGCAGCGAAAUGCGAUAAGUAAUGUGAAUUGCAGAAUUCAGUGAAUCAUCGAAUCUUUGAACGCACAUUGCGCCCGCCAGUAUUCUGGCGGGCAUGCCUGUCCGAGCGUCAUUUCAACCCUCGAACCCCUCCGGGGGGUCGGCGUUGGGGAUCGGCCCUCCCUUAGCGGGUGGCCGUCUCCGAAAUACAGUGGCGGUCUCGCCGCAGCCUCUCCUGCGCAGUAGUUUGCACACUCGCAUCGGGAGCGCGGCGCGUCCACAGCCGUUAAACACCCAACUUCUGAAAUGUUGACCUCGGAUCAGGUAGGAAUACCCG